rnacentral:rRNA from 1 species
CGGUUAUACGAUUAAUACAAGUGAAUAUUUUUGGUUAAUAUAGUUUUUAGUAUUAUUUGAGUUUUAUACAAAUUUUAUUAGGUGAAAUUUUAUUUUUUGACAUAACUCUUUAUUAUUAAUCUAUGAAACUUAAAUAAUAAACUAGGAUUAGAUACCCUAUUAUUUUAAGUGUUAAUUUUAGUUUACCUGGGUAAUAUUAGUUAAGGUCUUUAAACCCAAAGAAUUUGGCGGUAUUUCAUUCCAUUCAGAGGAACCUAUCUCGUAAUUGAUAGUACACGAUUAACUUUACUUGAUUUAUUUGUUUGUAUAUCUCCGUUAUCAGAAAAUCUUUUUGGAGCUAUAAUUUUCCUGUUUUUCCAUUAAAAUUUAUUUCAGGUCAAGGUGCAGCUUAUAAUUAAGUGUGUGAUGGGUUACAAUAAAUUUUUUUAUUAUGGAUUUAAUUUUGAAAUUUUUUAAUGAAGGUGGAUUUGAUAGUAAUUUAAUUUAUUUAAUUUAAUUGAUAUUGGCUCUGAAAUG